rnacentral:tRNA from 1 species
GUUUUAAUAAUUUAAUAAUAAAAUAUUGGUCUUGUAAACCAAAAAUAAGCCUUGUCUUUUAAAACU